GGGCCCGUAGCUUAGCCAGGUAGAGCGCCCGGCUCAUAACCGGGCGGUCGUGGGUUCAAAUCCCACCGGGCCCA
rnacentral:tRNA from 1 species